rnacentral:rRNA from 1 species
GACGAACGCUGGCGGCGUGCUUAACACAUGCAAGUCGAACGGAAAGGCCCUGCUUGCAGGGUACUCGAGUGGCGAACGGGUGAGUAACACGUGGGUGAUCUGCCCUGCACUUCGGGAUAAGCCUGGGAAACUGGGUCUAAUACCGGAUAGGAGCCAUUCUUAGUGUGAGGGUUGGAAAGUUUUUUCGGUGUGGGAUGAGUUCGCGGCCUAUCAGCUUGUUGGUGGGGGAAUGGCCUUCCAAGGCGGCGACGGGUAGGCGGCCUGGGGGGGUGGACGGCCACCAUUGGGAUGGGAUACGGCCCCGGCUCCUACGGGGGGGCGGCGGGGGGAAUAUUGCCCAAUGGGGGCGAGCCUGAUGCAGCGAACCCGGGUUGGGGGUUACGGCCUUCGGGUUGUAAACUCCUUUCGGUAGGGACGAAGCUUUUUGUGACGGUACCUAGAUAAGAAGCACCGGCUAACUACGUG